UUAAGUUCUUGCUGUAUUUUUGAAGCUUUUCAAUGUUUUGAAGUCAUUUGAAUGUUUUUGGAUAUGCAAAUUUUCAGAUCUGAGACAGACUUGGAAGAUUUCGAGGGAAGUCUUCUCCUAUGUAUCCUCUUUCGUAACAGACCUGAGUGUUUCGGUUUUUUAGAUCUGAAACAAGCUUUAGAAUACUUCCCUGGAAGUCUUCUUUGAAGUCUUCUAACAUAUAAUGUACACAUGAAGUCUUCGGACGGAGUCUUCUCCAUGUCUCAUUUUUCAUAACAUAUCUGAGUAUUUUGGUUUUUCAGAUCUGAGUCAUAUUUUGGAAGAAUUCUAAGAAAUCUUCUCGGAAAUCUUCUAAUGGAGUCUUUUCUCUUGUUAAGUGGAGUCGAAGCUUGUCUUUGUGGAGGAAUGAUCUACAAUUGUUUCGUUUAUGGUCUGUUUUGUAAUUUGUAGGUGCACUCUUUUAGUUGUGAUUUUUUUUUGUAAAUUUUAAGAGAUACUAAUGAAAAUUUGGUAAAUA